GGCCGCGGGAGGCGGCGUUGUCGGGGAAGUUGAGCCGCGCCGCGUCGCCGCGGAGGCGGUACGCCGCCUGGUCGUAGGCAAGCGCCGCCUCCUCGGCUGUGUCGAAGGUGCCGAGCCAGAGCCGCGUGCGGUUCCGCGGGAGGCGGAUCUCCGCCACCCACUUCCCCCAGUGCCGCUGCCGCACGCCGCGGUACAGCUUCU
rnacentral:misc_RNA from 1 species